UACGAAGGGUGCAAGCGUUAAUCGGAAUUACUGGGCGUAAAGAGCGCGUAGGUGGUUCGUUAAGUUAGGAGUGAAAGCCCCGGGCUCAACCUGGGAAUUGCUUCUAAAACUGGCGAGCUAGAGUAUGGUAGAGGGUGGUGGAAUUUCCUGUGUAGCGGUGAAAUGCGUAGAUAUAGGAAGGAACAUCAGUGGCGAAGGCGACCACCUGGACUGAUACUGACACUGAGGUGCGAAAGCGUGGGGAGCAAACAGGAUUAGAUACCCCCGUAGUCCCUGAG
rnacentral:rRNA from 1 species